UACGAAGGGGGCGAGCGUUGUUCGGAUUUACUGGGCGUAAAGGGCGCGCAGGCGGCUCAUUUUGUCAGGCGUGAAAGCCCCGGGCUUAACCUGGGAACUGCGCUUGAUACGGAUGGGCUAGAGUUCGGGAGAGGAGAGUGGAAUUCCCAGUGUAGAGGUGAAAUGCGUAGAUAUCGGGAGGAACACCUGUGGCGAAAGCGGCUCACUGGGGAAGUGCUGACGCUGAGACACGAAAGCCAGGGGAGCGAACGGG
rnacentral:rRNA from 1 species